rnacentral:lncRNA from 1 species
AUACAAUAUACAAUGUAUAUUCACUUUUACUACCAACUGAUAAAUUAAAACAAUCUUUACCAUUCAGUGAUAACAAGCACCUUUUGUUACAUUUUAAUAUUUUAUGAUGUAUUUAAAUGAGUAAUUAUUGUUGCAAACUCCAUUAGAAAUUUGAAUUGAGAUCAGUUUUGGAAAAAGGGAAAGGGGGAUGUGAAAAAAAGAUGGGGGGGGUUAAAUUUUUCUCAUUUCAGAUUUCAUAAAUAAAAAGAAAAUUUCUUCAAACAUUUUUUUGAGAGGAUUAAUAUUCAACAGCAUAGUGAAUUGCUCAAAGGCAAAAAAAAGUAUUUUAAGUUCAUUAGACCACAUUCAUUCUGUGUCAGAAACCUAUGCUGUGUCAACUAUUUAAUCACAACCCAAAUUUAGAGCUAAAUCCAGCUUGAAUGUUGUGUCCAUACUUGCCCCAACCGUUCAGGAUUCAACCUCUGCGGUCGUAUAAAGCUGCGCCCUGCGGAGCAUUUGGUUUAACGUUA